rnacentral:rRNA from 1 species
CACGUAGGGGACGAGCGUUGUCCGGAUUCAUUGGGCGUAAAGCGCGCGUAGGCGGCUCGGAAAGUCGGGCGUGAAAUGCCGGGGCUCAACCCCGGGACUGCGUCUGAUACUGGAUGGCUUGAGUUUGGGAGAGGGACGCGGAAUUCCAGGUGUAGCGGUGAGAUGCGUAGAUAUCUGGAGGAACACCGGUGGCGAAGGCGGCGUCCUGGACCAACACUGACACUGAGGAGCGAAAGCCAGGGGAGCAAACGGG